AUCUACAAGCAUACCAGCCUGAACGCGCCCAAUCUCGUUUGGUCUCUGAAGUUAGGCACCGUCUGGCCUCUGGAGCAAAACACCACAGAAACCUUGUGAACA
rnacentral:rRNA from 1 species